AAAUAAAUGAGCAAAUCUAUGAUAUCUACAGAUAUCUCCAGCCAUUCUAAUUGAAGAGAGGAUAGAGUUGGUGAGAUUGAUUAAGAUAAAGUUAAGCUUGUUUAGCUUAUGUCUAGCCGUGGAUCUCUGUGGUGGAUUUCAUUCAGUGGUGAGAUAUAACCUCUAAUUUAUAAAGCGGUGAUCUUUCUGUAUCUGUUAGAAUGUUGAUAAUUUUGCUAUUGUGUAUGUCUACGGUAUUUUACUGUAGAAAUAUACUGAUAUACUGCAGAAUUAUUGCUGAAGGAAAUCUGCAGAAAUGUCAGUAGAGGUCCCUAAAUUUAAGGGAUAUGUUACAAGCUUUGAAUGUAUCAGAUGAAGACUUUCUAAUACAAUUUGUGCCUGUAGAUAUAA